CCAGCAGCCGCGGUAAUUUCAGCUCCAAUACCGUCUAUUCAAGUUGUUGCAGUUAAAAAGCUCGUAGUUGAAUUUCUGGUAGGGUGCCAAUGUCCGCCGCCGUGCGUGCGCAGCGGCGCCCUUCCAUCCUUCUGUCAACGCUUCUUGGCAUUCGUUUGCUGGUAGCGGGCUCAGAUAUUUUACCUUGAGAAAAUUAGAGUGUUUCAGGCAGGCUAGGCCGGAAUACAUUAGCAUGGAAUAAUGGAAUAGGACUACGGUCUCUUUGUUGGUCUGAGGGGUUGAAGUAAUGAUUAAUAGGGAUAGUUGGGGGCAUUAGUACUUAACUGCCAGAGGUGAAAUUCUUGGAUUUGUUAAAGACUAACUUAUGCGAAAGCAUUUGCCAAGGAUGUUUUCAUUAAUCAAGAACGAAAGU
rnacentral:rRNA from 1 species